GGAUUUCCACAUCAUAAGAAUUUCGCCUUGAUGGGGCAGUUGUGUUUCUAAAGGAAAUGUGGUACCACACAUUUCUUGCCUGUGCAACUGACCCAGUUCUUCUUCUUUGUUCAGCUGGCCAGUAGCUUUGGGGUGAAGUUUAUGGAGACCAGUGCAAAAGCCAACAUCAAUAUAGAAAAUGCAUUUUUUACGCUUGCCAGAGAUAUCAAAACAAAAAUGGAUAAAAAGCUGGAAGGCAAUAGUCCUCAAGGAAGCAGCAGCACCAGCAGCACCAGCAGCCAAGGGGUGAAAAUCAGCCCAGACCUGCAGAAAAAAGUCAGCUUCUUCCGAUGUGUCCUCCUCUGAGGGCCCAGCCUUAACAUGAGCCUGGCUCAACACCUUUCCUGGACUUGGUCUGUUUGCAAGGGUGGCCUUCUUGUUCUGUCUUGUUCUUUCUCUGGCCCCUUGCAACAAACCAACCAUGCUAUGCCCAUAGUAAUGGAACGGAGAAAGCAGC